CCGACGUUAGCGGCGGACGGGUGAGUAACACGUGGGUAACCUACCUAUAAGACUGGAAUAACUCCGGGAAACCGGGGCUAAUGCCGGAUAACAUGUUGGACCGCAUGGUCCUACAGUGAAAGACGGUCUUGCUGUCACUUAUAGAUGGGCCCGCGCCGUAUUAGCUAGUUGGUAAGGUAACGGCUUACCAAGGCAACGAUACGUAGCCGACCUGAGAGGGUGAUUGGCCACACUGGAACUGAGACACGGUCCAGACUCCUACGGGAGGCAGCAGUAGGGAAUCUUCCGCAAUGGGCGAAAGCCUGACGGAGCAACGCCGCGUGAGUGAUGAAGGCCUUCGGGUCGUAAAACUCUGUUAUUAGGGAAGAACAAAUGUGUAAGUAACUAUGCACGUCUUGACGGUACCUAAUCAGAAAGCCACGGCUAACUACGUGCCAGCAGCCGCGGUAAUACGUAGGUGGCAAGCGUUAUCCGGAAUUAUUGGGCGUAAAGCGCGCGUAGGCGGUUUCUUAAGUCUGAUGUGAAAGCCCACGGCUCAACCGUGGAGGGUCAUUGGAAACUGAGAAACUUGAGUGCAGGAGAGGAAAGUGGAAUUCCAUGUGUAGCGGUGAAAUGCGCAGAGAUAUGGAGGAACACCAGUGGCGAAGGCGACUUUCUGGUCUGCAACUGACGCUGAUGUGCGAAAGCGUGGGGAUCAAACAGGAUUAGAUACCCUGGUAGUCCACGCCGUAAACGAUGAGUGCUAAGUGUUAGGGGGUUUCCGCCCCUUAGUGCUGCAGCUAACGCAUUAAGCACUCCGCCUGGGGAGUACGACCGCAAGGUUGU
rnacentral:rRNA from 1 species